UGAAACAAGUGCAAGCAUCGUCAAUGAAUCACCAAGUGCUUACUGCCUAGCCAAUGCUUGCCUCCCUGUUAACAAGGAACAAUUGAGAUGAUUACCGUGUUUGUCUGCGUUGCUUAUUUGCUAUGUGUGGCGGUGUUGCAAACAGAAAAGAAUAUGUGUGGCGAUGUUGCAAACAGAAAAUUCAUGAUAUCCAUCACCAAUGGGAACUGUAAGGGACACUGGUCUGAAUGGCACUGAAAUGAGGUUCUUCAACUUGUAUUUAUCUGACUUUGUUAUUUUUGCCAUAUCAAAUG
rnacentral:lncRNA from 1 species